CUUAAGCAGAGGUGUGGACGAUUAAAAACCACUGCAAACUUCCUGCUAACUCACAGCAGGUUCAAGAGCAUCGUCAAAGCAGCUGUCUGAGCCAGGACACAAAUAAUAGCAACAUCAGAUCCCUGCUAUAACUACACUGUGCUGGAUGAUCCUAGGAGAUCCACAGACAAUCGAUAUUCCUACGAAUUAAUGUGUGACGUUUGGGUCAGCUGGAGCGGCUGGUACCGUCUCUUCAUUCAUGGUCAGAGCGCUCAGAUGCCAGACACAUGUGUUGAUAAGUAUAG